GACACCUGGUCCCAGCCCAGGGCAAGAAUGAGUCUCUUCUGGCCAACUUUAUUUUUUACUUCUGGUUUCCUAGUGUCAAUUUGGAGAGAGGGAAAAAGAGAUUGUGUGUGUGUGUGUGUGUGUGUGUGCGCGCGAGUGUUUGCAUGAGUGUAUACUCACUACAUUUUCCAGACAUUUCCUUUAAAAUUCACCCUCUUUUGGGGGGAGGAGCCAAGAUGGCGGAACAGCAUGGAAGGUUUUUUUGGGUCUCACUUCCAUGAAAUAAAAUUCACCCUCUGUCUAGGGUAACAGGAACUCUCGCUCACUCCCGUUAACUUCUUCUUCUUUUUUUUUUUUUUAAUGUUUAUUUAUUUUCAGAGAGAGAAAGAAAGAGUGCAAGUGGGGGAGGGGCAAAGAGAGAGAGGGAGAAAGAGAAUCCCAAGCAGGCUCUGCACUGUCAGUGCACGGCCUGAUGCAGGGCUUGAACUCACGAACUAUGAGAUCGUACCCUGAGCUGAAAUCAAGAGUAGGACGCCUCACUGACUGAGUCACCUAGGCGCCCCGCUCCUGUUAACUUCCGAGGGUCUCUUGGAGCGCUUGCACCUUCUGGUCGUGAUGGGUCGUCCUUGUCUUUCCCUGAACUGCACCUUCUGUCUCCUAUCCAAAGCUCCUGGUCAGCGCAUCGCUGCUUACUUAUUUGGUGCCACCUUACCCUUUCAUUUAUGUCUCCAAAGCACCAAGACCAGCUGUUUAAGGUCCCAGACUUUCCUGAAAAUGUGAAAAUGUCAUUGAGUGGACAGUGAAAGAAGAAAAACUUUAAUCUCAACUCAGUCCCUGAACCACAUGGGAUCAUCUGGAGGGCCUUCUGGUCCGGCUUUCUCCUUGGCUUACACCCCUGGGGCUCAGCCAGCUCCUUCCUUGCAGAUCUCAGUCUCCAUUCAUCUCUCCUUCCCCCUAAACCCAGGGACCUCCAACUCCCUCUGCCCCCGGUGUCCAUAGAGGAAGCCCCCAAUCAAUGAACACCUUAGCAAGCCAAGGCGGGCACGCUCGACCUUCGCCGGGCAGAAUGGUGCAGCUCUUUUUUCAACAUUGCAGUGUCCAGGCUAGGCCUUGGCAUAAACAUAAUGUUGUUCUCCACAGAAAGCGGUCCCCUGCAGUCCCCUAUUUCUUGGAUGACUUCUGUGGGUUGCUUACUGCAGGAAUGUUUUCAACUCUGCAGGACCAGUCCAAAUAGCACCAGACCCCAUCCCCGUGAUGACAAUUCAGUGGGGUGAAGUCCUGGAAUCUGCAUGUUUAGAAAAUCCCCCAAGUAACUCUGAUGCAGAUGAUCCUCAAAUCAUAUUUAUAAGACCUCUGCCGGGGGGGGCCUGGGUGGCUCAGUCAGUUAAGAGUCCGACUCUUGAUUUCGGCUCAGGUCAUGAUCUCACAGUCUGCGUGUUCAAGCCCUGCGUCGGGCUCUGUGCUGACAGUGCAGAGCCUGCUUGGGAUUCUCUCCCUCCCUCCCUCUCUCUCUCUCUCUCUAUGCCUCUCCCUUGCUUGUACUCUCUCUCUCUCUCAAAAUAAAUAAACUUAAAAAAAAAGUUUAUAAGAGCUCUGCCCCCAGCAAAGUGUAAAAAUAAAGAGUCUUUUUAAACACAACUUGCCAGACCUUCUCAUCUUCCUUCCUUCACUCCCUCCCUUCCCUCCUCUCCUCUUCCUCCUCCUCCUUCCGUUGUCUACACACACCAAUGUUAGUCAUUUCUGGGUGAAAAGAAAUAUAGAUAAAGAAAAUUAUAUGCAAUUAUAUAUGCUAUAUAUUUAUUUAUAUUAUGUAUUUAUAAUUAUAUAGUCACAUAUAAGAAUUUGUUAACACGAUAAAAUACACGUAUAUUUAUCCCUCCGCCUAAUUUUUGACCUUAAAUUUACAUUGUUUGGUCACAAGUAAGAAAAUGCAAUAAACAAAAGGAAACCUCAAAUGACCCCCAGGAAGUGUGUCAACUGGGAAACUGAAUUUGCCCCAGGAGUGUCCCCCUGCUCAAGCACAAGGCUUCGUCUCUUAAUAUCUUAUCUAAGUCCCAAGUGACUGUCAGUGCUGACCGAGGACAGGAAGUUCUUAUGACUCUGGUCUGCUGAGCUCUGAGCUUGGAAAGGGGAAAAAGUGCUCAAGGCAAGAGGUCACCUGCCUCGGAUGUGCAGGAACCUUAGGAAAUUCUGCUGCGUCGGGAGGCGCCUUGGGCACCCAAUGCGCGGCCGACAGACGUGUGUUCCUACUUCCAAGAAGCUUCAACCAUCCAGAGAGGGAGACGAAGUCAGUGCGGAAGCUUUGCUACGGCAGGAGCCAUUCCAGACUGAGAGCUAACCCUGUCCCCUCCUUCAGGGCUCUGUGACCAGAGGCAAGUUAUUUAGCCUUGGUGACCCACAGGCUUCUAUCUCAGGAAUGGGAAGAUGCCAUUUUCACAGGGUUGUUGUAAGGAUUAAAUGAGAUUUCCCCAAACCUCAGGUAUUGGCAUCUCCCCUUUAAAAUGUUUGCUUCAUCUCCCUGCAACCUGGGCAGUCAGUUCAUUCACAUCGCCACCCACUUUCGCUUCCUCCUAAGUGGCAAUAUCUGUGAAAUCUCGG